GUGGGGAAUAUUCCGCAAUGGACGAAAGUCUGACGGAGCAACGCCGCGUGAGUGAUGAAGGUUUUCGGACUGUAAAGCUCUGUUGUUUAGGACGAAAGUGCCUGUUGCAAAUAGUUACAGGUAUUGACGGUACUGAACGAGGAAGCCACGGCUAACUACGUGCCAGCAGCCGCGGUAAUACGUAGGUGGCAAGCGUUGUCCGGAAUUAUUGGGCGUAAAGAGCAUGUAGGCGGGAAUCUAAGUCUGUUGUGAAAAUGCGGGGCUCAACCCCGUAUUGCGAUGGAAACUUGGUUUCUUGAGUGCAGGAGAGGAAAGGGGAAUUCCCAGUGUAGCGGUGAAAUGCGUAGAUAUUGGGAGGAACACCAGUGGCGAAGGCGCCUUUCUGGACUGUGUCUGACGCUGAGAUGCGAAAGCCAGGGUAGCGAACGGGAUUAGAUACCCGGGUAGUCC
rnacentral:rRNA from 1 species